CCUACGGGAGGCAGCAGUGGGGAAUAUUGCACAAUGGGGGAAACCCUGAUGCAGCGACGCCGCGUGAGUGAAGAAGUAUCUCGGUAUGUAAAGCUCUAUCAGCAGGGAAGAAAAUGACGGUACCUGACUAAGAAGCCCCGGCUAACUACGUGCCAGAAGCCGCCGUAAUACGUAGGGGGCAAACGUUAUCCGGAUUUACUGGGUGGAAAGGGGGCGUAGACGGCGCUGCAAGUCCGGAGUGAAAGCCCAGGGCUUAACCACGGGACUGCUCUGGAAACUGGGGGGCUGGAGUGCGGGAGGGGCAGGCGGAAUGCCUGGUGUAGCGGUGAAAUGCGUAGAUAUUAGGAGGAACACCGGUGGCGAAGGCGGCCUGCUGGACCGUAACUGACGUUGAGGCUCGAAAGCGUGGGGAGCAAACAGGAUUAGAUACCCUGGUAGUC
rnacentral:rRNA from 1 species